rnacentral:rRNA from 1 species
UACGUAGGUGGCGAGCGUUGUCCGGAUUUACUGGGCGUAAAGGGAGCGUAGGCGGACUUUUAAGUGAGAUGUGAAAUACCCGGGCUCAACUUGGGUGCUGCAUUUCAGACUGGAAGUCUAGAGUGCAGGAGAGGAGAAUGGAAUUCCUAGUGUAGCGGUGAAAUGCGUAGAGAUUAGGAAGAACACCAGUGGCGAAGGCGAUUCUCUGGACUGUAACUGACGCUGAGGCUCGAAAGCGUGGGGAGCAAACAGGAUUAGAUACCCGU